rnacentral:rRNA from 1 species
CCCCGUGAACCUUUACUAUAGCUUGACACUGAACAUUGAGCCUUGAUGUGUAGGAUAGGUGGGAGGCUUUGAAGUGUGGACGCCAGUCUGCAUGGAGCCGACCUUGAAAUACCACCCUUUAAUGUUUGAUGUUCUAACGUUGGCCCCUAAUCGGGGUUGCGGACAGUGUCUGGUGGGUAGUUUGACUGGGGCGGUCUCCUCCUAAAGAGUAACGGAGGAGCACGAAGGUUGGCUAAUCCUGGUCGGACAUCAGGAGGUUAGUGCAAUGGCAUAAGCCAGCUUGACUGCGAGCGUGACGGCGCGAGCAGGUGCGAAAGCAGGUCAUAGUGAUCCGGUGGUUCUGAAUGGAAGGGCCAUCGCUCAACGGAUAAAAGGUACUCCGGGGAUAACAGGCUGAUACCGCCCAAGAGUUCAUAUCGACGGCGGUGUUUGGCACCUCGAUGUCGGCUCAUCACAUCCUGGGGCUGAAGUAGGUCCCAAGGGUAUGGCUGUUCGCCAUUUAAAGUGGUACGCGAGCUGGGUUUAGAACGUCGUGAGACAGUUCGGUCCCUAUCUGCCGUGGGCGCUGGAGAACUGAGGGGGGCUGCUCCUAGUACGAGAGGACCGGAGUGGACGCAUCACUGGUGUUCGGGUUGUCAUGCCAAUGGCACUGCCCGGUAGCUAAAUGCGGAAGAGAUAAGUGCUGAAAGCAUCUAAGCACGAAACUUGCCCCGAGAUGAGUUCUCCCUGAGACUUAGAGUCUCCUGAAGGAACGUUGAAGACGACGACGUUGAUAGGCCGGGUGUGUAAGCGCAGCGAUGCGUUGAGCUAACCGGUACUAAUGAACCGUGAGGCUUAACCUUACAACGCCGAAG